UCUUAUUAGUGGUGAUAAACAUGGACACAAAGUGGUCAAUAGAAAAAAAAAUGUAACAGACUUAAGAAUUAAAACUCACAACAACCUACAAGCAAAAAUGGUGGAAUCUUGUUUUGCGACGUCUCUGUUGUAAAAAGAAAUCAUUAAAAUAAUUCAAUAAAAAUAAAUUAUUUCUAAUAAAAGAAAAUUAAUAGCUAUCGUAGUGUUAUUACGUAAAAUGCUUACUUCUUAAACUGUUAAGGUCAUAUUUCAAAUGUUCUGCAGGUCUUUAAUAGUGUGUUACUAAUAGAUCUUUCACACCUACGAUUUCAGCCAACAUUUUAACUACAAAAAUAACAAUUAGGUGAUCGUGACUUUCAGAAACGUGACGUGCGUUGCCUUCAAAGCACUGGGACAUUGAUUUCCCCGUCUGCCUAUUUUUCUUUUGCCACCGACUGUCAAUUCUUCACCGCCAACAGGCUUCCCUGGAAGGUACUGGCUGUUUUCGGGAAUGGUCUGUGAUUUGCCAGCCAUUUGCAGAUAAACUCCGAUGUGGUCUCAUAAUUAGUUCUUGUAUCUUAUAUGUUUAUGAUUCAAAACUAAUUGCGGCAAAGCACCAGCAAAAGCUGAACGUUUGUAAUCUACAAUGUUGAUUAGCUCCCCAGCAGACAACUGUCGGCUGUAUUAAUUCCCCCCCGUCAUUCCCCCCCCUUCCUCAUUUUACUACUGCUCCUAAAUAAUCCCUCUUCCUUCCAUCCGAAAAGCCGGGGGAGCUUCUAUAUGUUCUUCUAAAAUGUUAUUUAACGCGAAAUAACGAUGCAAUUGAGCAUCCACUGCUUUCCAGUCUGUCCUUAAUCCAUUACCCCAAAUAACAUCCCACGUUGUCUUCAGGGCAGGCGUUUGCUCUCCCGGCUCUUCCUGUGUCCUAUAAAUAGGACAAAUCCGCCUGCACAUGACCCUUCCUACAUAUAUUCUGUGCCAAUUUGCUUUGACUUAUCUCUGGCUGCAAAAUGGGUCCUUUAAUUAAAAAAAAAAAAGGAAUCAUCUUUUUCUUUUUAAAGCACUUCGGUGGGGAGCUUGAGGUGGAAGAGUCGUAUGUGUCUGUCUGAAAACCGGGUUAGGGGAGCCUCGCACACGCUUCGACAACAUUAAUCUGUUGGCUUUUAUUAAAUAGUGUUUAGUUUUGGUUGCUGGUCGUUUUUUCCCCCAAGGAAAUGUGUUUUGGUAAAUUUAACCUUAGCCGAGGGAGAAACUCAGCGCCUGCUGCUGCAGCAGAAAGAAUGCCGAGAGGAAAAGAUACGGGCAAAGCCGAGCUGCAAACCCCGUUAAUAUAAUCGCUGUCACCAGUUACCGACGAGUAUCAUCACCCACCUCCGAGCGGGCAGUAACGCGGACCCCCCACCCCGUAGCUAAAAGGAGGCUCUUUUCUUGUAGUAGUAAAGUCAUGUAGGAAGAAGGCAUUUCUGCUCCGUGCUCGGUUAGGCUCGCUCUCCCUUGGAAGCUCCAGACUGGAGGAAAACAGGCUCGCAAGGGGUUGGUUGCAACCAUUAUUCCGAGGACCCUGCGAUGUUUUCAUUCACUGCCCGGUUUUCAAGGCUCCUUUCUUCACGUCGCAGCCGGCUCAACUUGAGACUCUGGAGGAGAAAUAAGGAAAAAAAAAAUUAAAUAAC